GAUAAACGCUGGCGGCGUGCCUAACACAUGCAAGUCGAACGCCCUUUGUCUCGCAAGAGAGGAAGGGAGUGGCGGACGGGUGAGUAACACAUGGGUGACCUCCCCCCAGUGAGGGAUACCGGCGAGAAAUUGCCGACAAGCCCGCAUAGGGUCUUGCUGGUAGAGCAGCAAGAGCAAAGGUGCUUUUUCGCAAGAGGAAGUGCCGCUGAGGGAUGGGCCUGUGGCCGAUUAGCUAGUUGGUGAGGUAAGAGCUUACCAAGGCGUCGAUCG
rnacentral:rRNA from 1 species